rnacentral:rRNA from 1 species
GUGAAGAUGCAGUGUACCCGCGGCAAGACGGAAAGACCCCGUGAACCUUUACUAUAGCUUGACACUGAACAUUGAGCCUUGAUGUGUAGGAUAGGUGGGAGGCUUUGAAGCGUGGACGCCAGUCUGCGUGGAGCCGACCUUGAAAUACCACCCUUUAAUGUUUGAUGUUCUAACGUGGAUCCGUAAUCCGGGUUGCGGACAGUGUCUGGUGGGUAGUUUGACUGGGGCGGUCUCCUCCUAAAGAGUAACGGAGGAGCACGAAGGUUGGCUAAUCCUGGUCGGACAUCAGGAGGUUAGUGCAAUGGCAUAAGCCAGCUUGACUGCGAGCGUGACGGCGCGAGCAGGUGCGAAAGCAGGUCAUAGUGAUCCGGUGGUUCUGAAUGGAAGGGCCAUCGCUCAACGGAUAAAAGGUACUCCGGGGAUAACAGGCUGAUACCGCCCAAGAGUUCAUAUCGACGGCGGUGUUUGGCACCUCGAUGUCGGCUCAUCACAUCCUGGGGCUGAAGUAGGUCCCAAGGGUAUGGCUGUUCGCCAUUUAAAGUGGUACGCGAGCUGGGUUUAGAACGUCGUGAGACAGUUCGGUCCCUAUCUGCCGUGGGCGCUGGAGAACUGAGGGGGGCUGCUCCUAGUACGAGAGGACCGGAGUGGACGCAUCACUGGUGUUCGGGUUGUCAUGCCAAUGGCACUGCCCGGUAGCUAAAUGCGGAAGAGAUAAGUGCUGAAAGCAUCUAAGCACGAAACUUGCCCCGAG